CAUCUCACAUUCUGCGUCGACGCCGUCGCUGCUGCUGCGAGUAUCUUUUUCAACAAAUUCACAAAUUGUAUUUAUUCACUUGUCUCGUUCGUUUCGCUUUCGUCACAUUGCCCCUUUACAUGCUGCAUUGUGCCCGUUCGGCGGUGUUAUUUGUUAAACUAAUUAAUAAUUUAAAAUGCUAAUCGAGUUUUUCGUGUGUUAAACAAUCUUUAAAUUACAUUAGGUUUGUUGAAGAAUGCACUCAGUUGGAAUGAUUCGUUUGUGAAUAAGUGUAAAGUGAAUGCGUUUGCCAAAAAGAAAGUUAAUAAAGUGGAAAAGCCAAGUAGCUUCAUAGAUGAAGAAAGAAAACGGACGCAGCAGCAAAGUUAGUAGUGAGUGAGAAAGCCAUGUCGGUCUAUUAGUUAUUCGCUCGCAGUUCCGUUGCUUUUUCGGCUCGGUUUGAACGAGGCGAAGAAGAUCAGUGCAUUUGUGGCUAAAAUGUGUGUGUGCAUUGAUUGCAUGUGAAAAUAAAAUUCAUCGUAAAUAGUAAAUGCAAAGUGUAAACAAUAAAAUUGAAUCAAAUUAAAAUAGAAAAAAAAACUGACAAUAUUAACGCAAAAGUAAGAGAAGUUGUGUGCGAAACGUACGUGAAACAGUUCUUUAAGUAAACAGGUAAUAGAGCUGCGCGCUGCUUUGCAGCCGACAGCGCAACACCACUGCCGAACACCGCAGCGACAAAUAAUCUACCAUAAGCAACUGCGUUUGCAGCAGCAAAAAAGUAACAAAGAGCCCACUUUUUGUUUGCAGCUUCACCGCUGUCACUGUAUGCAUUUUUUCCGCUUAUAUUGUUUAUUGAUUGUUGUUGCCCUACCAAUGUUUGCCUUACGUCGCUGCAAUCAUGAAGUUGGCCAGCGCCGUUGUGCAUUGAAGCGCGUAGCAACCAAGCGUCCAGUGGCCACUUAAAAGCAGUAGUUAGUCUGCACACAAUCCAUAUAGCGCGGCGGCCAGCUGUGCAAGCACGAACAACAGCACUAACAACAAGCAACGGCUACUGCCUUUAUAUUUCUCGCUCAUCUUCCUAUAUGCGCAUAGUAUGUACAUGAAGGCGCAGGCGCAACAGGCGAAAGUUUCAUGCCAGUACCAAUUGCUAGAGCCACCAUCAUCGCUAUUGACUGUUUCUUCUGACUGGCUGGCUGUUUGAUCGGUGCACAGGUGUUUCACACAAUUCUUUGUAUACAUAUGUAUGUAUGUAGAUAAGAAAUACCAGUGUAAACAAGUGAACAACAAAGCGAAGCAAACUCGAAAUGAAAUAAUGAAAAUUAGUAGGGCUGAUUACGAGUAUUAACUGUUGGAAAAAAAACAAAAGCUGUGUUGCAAGGAUAACACUUCAAAACACGCCGAAUAACAUUUACAAACUCACCAUUCAAGCUAAGAUGUGAUAAUAAAUACUCAACACAACCAGCCCCUCCAUAUCGAACUUCGAUACUAUUCGCUCACUCACAAGGUAUGUUAUCACUGCUAAAUAAAUUAUUAUGUAAGCUUUUGGGGUUAAAUAAUGUCGUGGUGUUAUCUUAAGUGUAAAUAAAUGCGAUUAAUUUUUUUUUGAUUCGCUUCAAUAGCUUUAAGGCAUUUCAACUGUCAUAGCUACAAGUGGCGCAACCCUCUACAGCGCAGGCAAACGAAGGCGAAGGCUUAAAAGAGCUAAGCUUUGCCUUUAUAAACAACUUUUGCGAACUUUAAAUGAAUUACUACUACAUACAUACAUAUGUACAUACAUAUAUUUAAAUUUAAAUUCUAAGUAAAUCAUGAGUACAAAUAGGAUUUCUAUGGUCAAAAGUAUUGCAAAAAAGUAACUAAUCUCCUGCUGCGGUGUUUUGUGUUUGCAGCAGCAUCCAUUCAGUGACCGUAACAAAAAGGCAUAAAAAAUAAGCUAAAAUAAAAUGAAAAAAUAUAUUUGCGACGUGACUUUGUUAGCAAAGGCCACCAGCGACGCUUUAGAAUUCCCCUGCACGGCGCUUGCGCUCACUGAAUCUGGCUUACAGUCAUCCAGUUGCUGCCGCUUCGCAAGCAGUAGGUGAGUUUGUUCAAAA